rnacentral:rRNA from 1 species
GUCAUUAGAACUAUAAUAACAUAGUCGUAAAAUCAAACGAAAGCAAUACAUCGUAUCAAAUCUCUCAUCGAUCAGGUCGUUUGAAAGUCGCUUCUACGCGUCUCCUCCGCUCUACGGCCCACGGCACGCUACGCCGCUCGCGCUGCUCCACGGCUGACACGGUACACUACGCCACUACGGUACUCUCAGCCGUUCUGCGCUGUUCCGACCUCGUACUACCCAACCAAGUCCAACUCAGCCUACUGUGCCGUUCCAGCACACUAUGCCGUUCGCGCACCUUCCCAACUUCGUUCUGGCCGACCUACCUAGUCAUGCAACCUCGGUUCUCUUAACCACACAAACACUCCCACAAUCGACGUACGCACCUCAUCAAUAGAUCAUCAGUCGACGUACGUGCAUGAUCAGAAACCUGGGAUCUCUCUAACAUCCUCUUCUAUUCUAGUACCCAAUCACGUACAUCAAUCAACCAAUCACCUCGUUGAUCAGACCUCUGCACCACCGGUCCACACUACCGGCCGCACUCAUGCACCCUGAACCGACUCACGGUUUGAAACAUAUUUAUCAGUAGAGUAAGUCAUUACCUCUUCCG